CACGGAAGUACAAUUGUUUUAAAAAAAAGAAUAAAUAAAACUAGAUAAAAACAUGGAUAUUUUCAAAUGGCUGUGCUUUGUCCAUGUCACCCUUCAUUACGUUCGAUCAGGUAGCAUACAAAGGAGACUCUGCAUGGACAUUCCAAUAAAGUUUAUAGCGUCGAAAAGAAGCUGCAGUUUUUCUUUAGACGAAGCAAAAAUUAACCUUCGAGACGGCAAGUAUUCGACCAUAUGUUGAUAAGAAGGACCAGUUAUUUUAUAACAUUCAUGACAUUUUUCUUCAUAAUCUUUAUCUUUUCAUUAUCAUAUAUCGUUAUAUCUAGAUUAAUCAUUGGAAAUGUGCACGCAUGAAAACAAUGUACUGUUUUGUAUCUAAAAGUAUGCUCAUAUUUUUAAGGAUACUGCCUUGAUCCAUGUAAUGUAUCUAUUCCUUACAUCUGGAAAGGGCAUCGAUAUAGAUUAUCUGGUCUAGUAUUGAACUACGGGACCAAAAGGACGCAUUUACCUUUGACAGAUUUUUGUUCAGAUACAUAUGAUGACGACAAUAUACACUAUAGGAAU